UGCUAGUUCAGAUCUCUGAUCCUCACUCACCACCAAAGAAAAUCAACUUUAUCAACAUCAAGUCGAUUACACACGGCACCAGGUGAAAGGUGUGUAAGUACAUCUCCCUCCUGAUCCACUCAGUGAAGUGGGUGAUGUUGGCGUACACUCCUGGUCCGAGCACUUUGGAGGAACAAACCGACCCCCACGAUGUCAGACCGUACAGAGACCAGUGUCCAUCCGGGCCCUCACACACCAGGGGCCCCCCACUGUCACCCUGCACACAGCUGUAUGUAAACCUUGGAGCUGGUGUACAGUCCAUGACUCACCAUGCAGGAGUCGAUGGUUCCGGCCUCGUACCCGGCGCAGAGCAUCCGAGAGGUGAUGGUCUUCAUAUCGAAAUAAGACUGGCACUGAGACAGAGAGAUCACCCUCACCACGCCCUCCUGCAGCUUAAAGGGCACUGCCCGAAAUAAAG